rnacentral:rRNA from 1 species
GAGUUUGAUUAUGGCUCAGAACGAACGCUGGCGGCGCGUCUUAAGCAUGCAAGUCGAACGGUAAGGGAGAGCUUGCUCUCCCCUAGAGUGGCGGACUGGUGAGUAACGCGUGGGUGACCUGCCCUGAAGAUGGGGAUAGCUAGUAGAAAUAUUAGAUAAUACCGAAUGUGCUCAUUUACAUAAAGGUAAAUGAGGAAAGGAGCUACGGCUCCGCUUCAGGAUGGGCCCGCGUCCCAUUAGCUAGUUGGUGAGGUAAAGGCCCACCAAGGCAACGAUGGGUAUCCGGCCUGAGAGGGUGAACGGACACAUUGGGACUGAGAUACGGCCCAAACUCCUACGGGAGGCAGCAGCUAAGAAUCUUCCGCAAUGGACGAAAGUCUGACGGAGCGACGCCGUGUGAAUGAAGAAGGCCGAAAGGUUGUAAAAUUCUUUUGCAGAUGAAGAAUAAAACACAGGAGGGAAUGCCCCUGUGAGAUGA